rnacentral:rRNA from 1 species
AGAGAGAGACAUGCGCGCAUAUCAAUAAGCGGAGGAAAAGAAACUAACAAGGAUUCCCCUAGUAACGGCGAGUGAAGCGGGAAGAGCUCAAAUUUGAAAUCUUAAAGGGUUUCCCUUUACGAAUUGUAGUUUAAAGAAGUGUUUUCUGUUGAGGUUUUGGUAAAAGUUCUUUGGAAUAGGACAUCAUAGAGGGUGAGAAUCCCGUAUUUGACCUUUACUUUCAACUUUGUGAUACACUUUCAAAGAGUCGGAUUGUUUGGGAAUGCAGUCCAAAAUGGGUGGUAAAUUUCAUCUAAAGCUAAAUAUUGGCGAGAGACCGAUAGCGAACAAGUACCGUGAGGGAAAGAUGAAAAGAACUUUGAAAAGAGAGUUAAACAGUACGUGAAAUUGUCAAAAGGGAAGCGUUUGACACCAGUGUUGUUUUUCUGAAAAUCAAUUAAAGAACUGUUUAUGCUAAGCUGUUUAGACUUUAUCAGCUAACUGUUUAGUUUUGAGCUUUUCUUUAAUGCACUUUUCAGUUAACAAGUCAACAUCAAUUUCUUUUGCUGUAAAAAAGCUUGAGGAAGGUGGCUUGAGAUUCGUCUUAAGUGUUUAUAGCCUCUUGCCUAUGCAGUCGGAGAGAUUGAGGUCUGCAGCGUAGAUCCUUCGGGGCUAAAUGCAUUUGUGCUAAGUUAUAGCAUUUUAUAGACAACUUGUUGACUAUGAUUUGUCUUGUAGCUUACUCGCUUAUGUUAUUUAUACCUACGCUUAGGAUGUUGAGCGCAUGUCUCUCUCU